CUUUCUGGAUUCACUCUAGGACUAUCUGGAGAAAGAGGUAAGAAUGAUCAGAUUCUGUAACUUAUUGCUUUUCCUUUCCUUCUGUACUAUCCCUGCACACAGAUCUACAGUUUGAAAGUACAGUAAUAAGAUCCUCACCCAGCCCCAUCCGCAGGAAUGCAUCAACAGCUGGCCAAACAUAAUCCAACACACAGAGCUGCCUUUGUAGAAUUAGUAACAAACAGUGGAAGGGCCAGACAGGCGUCCCAGAAGAGCUCCCCAUGACAACUGGGAAACCUCCUCACCCCCAGGGUUGAGCUGACUCCACUGAGCUGGGGUUGGAGAACCCCAGCUCUCACAUCUGAAUCUACAACAAGCCUCAAGUGCCUGCCCUCAACCUCACUAGAAGCUAUUCAGAGGGCAUUCGGCUCUCCAUAACAGCAAGUUAGAAGCAAGCAUUCUCCAUACUAACAACAGCCAUACUCUGCCUCAUGGCACAUGCCUUUUGAAAUGCAACACUGCAAAUCUCCAAAUCACAUGAACAGCAUUUACACCUGUACCUAACCAUCAGCUGUGAGCUGGUAGGACCACCUCUCGUCUUUAGAAAAUAAUUUCUUUUUGCAAAUUAUAGGCUGAUCCCGGCACUCUGAAACAUGUAAAUAUAACACUGUAUUCAUCUCCACUGAGCAUUUAGCAUCUGAAGCCUGUGGUAGCCAGCUGGUCUCAAAGUCAUCUGGGAUACAUUUAUUUUGAUUAAAUUGAUCAGAUUUCUAUUUACAGGAUAGAAUUUUUUUGCCAUUACUGAAUACAGCUGUGUUUACAGGGAUUUGUAGAAGAAGAAAACAAAACCCCACAAUCGGUCCUAGCAAAGCACAGAGCAUUCAGAACUGGAAGGAGUUAAAACAGAGGGGGCUUGCUUUCACAGUAAAAAGAAAAUUCUGCAUGCAGCUGCUUUGGCCAUGCUGUCUCACUAGUCAGGAAAUGGGUGUUGAACUGGAGCUGAAAACACAAGCUGCAAUCAAGCCCGAUCCAGCAAAGUGACAGACUUCCUGUGUAAAAUGGUCAGAAACCUUUUUUCAUGUCUCUACAUGCAUGCACAUGCAUUUAAAUCCAUGCUGCGAGGCUGCGAUUUUCUCUGGGGACACUGGUACAGUCACCUAGCCCAUCAGUUCCUUCGUCGACAGCGCCGGGGACAUCCAGACUACAAUUUACAGUUCCUCUAUCCAUGUGCUGGGUUAUAAAUUAUGCCAUCCUCCCUAGAAUGAGAAUGCACAGCAAGCGGCAGACAAUCACCCGGCAUUCGGCAUCUCUUUCUUUUCACGCGCUCCCUCGCUCCGCCUUUCUCCAGCUCUGCCUUCUCAGGCAGAUACAUCAGAUACCUUGUUUAUCCAUCUUCAGCUCCACUCUGAGGUAAAAUGCCACCACAUCUCGCCAUGGGUUGUCCCCCCAGACUAAAUCCCUGGGAACAGCCUGAGCUGGGUGCACGCGGCCGAGGCGACGGCUGCCCUUGCCCUGCGGAGCACGGGUGGGCAUUGGAUGUAAGGUAUUCCUAACUUCCCCUUCCCCAGUCCUUGGCGUCCUCUCUAGCCAUCCCACCCCAGGUCUUCUGCAGCUUCACCCUGUCCUCCAAGUCCCCUCGCCCAGCUGCGAGGCAGGAGACCCCGGCCGGAGCUCCGCCAGCAGGUCCUUCUUUCGCAGGGCGCAGACGCACGAUUCCGGGAUCGGGUGCACCACGGCGAAGCCCAGGCGGGAGACGGCAGGAGCAGCUCAGAUGAAGAAACUGAAACCCACAGAGAUGAAGUAACAUCCUCAAGAUCAAAAGGUAACAAACGAUUGAGGCAGGAUUUGGAUAUUGCUCUACAUGACGGGAAAGCCUGUGCUCUUGGAAUUACAGUCAUAGUACAACAGAUCAAGUUCAAAGCAUCAUCUAAGUCAAGGAAAACCAGUAAAGAGGUUUGGAGAGACAAACAGGGUCAACUCCAGGCAUUUGGGUCAGCAGAAACGGCACGAUUGAGCAGCACUGUGACUAUAGGAUCAUGGAUCAGAGGCUGCUUCCUCUUUGGUUCUGGGCAUCAGCCUCAUGUCCACUCAAAGUAAGUGGCCCCUCUGAUUGGAAUCGGAGGUGCCUGGGUCAUCUCACAGAGCCAAACAAAUACAAUUAGCUAUUGCAAAGCCUUUUGGGAAUUAUUCCCAGUGUAAAUAAACACAUAACCAUAUAGCAAGAGCCUUGAUAAAGUCCAAAAACAUGCAAACUUGGAGUAUCUAAGAGAAAAGACCACAAUGUAAAUGAAAAACCAAAUAAACUCGGGCAAACCAUAGGAUAGGGCCCUGUCUGUGAUGGCCUGCAUAUGAUGAGCCAUAGAAAAAGGAUGGUGAAUUCUGGAUAAUAAGAAAUGUCAAUGAGAUGCAAGAACCACCUGUUUUAUGUAAAGCUCCAAAUAACCAGAUCACAGUGGACAGCCACUCAAAUAAUGCCUUCAUAAUACAGAGUAUUAUUGAGAAUAACUCAGUUCACAGAGAGCUUAAGGCAGCCAAUAUUUGAUAGCCUGUCAGAAAAAAACAGAACAGUAAUUAUAGAAAAGAAUCAUAUCCUCGGAAAAACAAAAAUUAAUCAAACUAAGUUUGUAAAGUCUAUCUUACAGACACAUUGUCUGGACUGGUCCUCUCAAAAAUACUGUUUUUUUUUAAUGCCAAUUUGUUUAGUUAAUGAUUUUUGUCUUAUUACUUCAAAACUGGAAAUAUCCUAUGACUCAUAAUAUCUUACAACCUUUCUACUUUCUUAAAGAAUCUCAAGUUUAUAAUCACAGGGGAUCGGAUUAUUUUUCAAAAAUUAAAUGGUGAUGUAAUGAUUUCUGUGUCUAUUGUAGAAAAGUCAACCUUAUUACAGCUGCAACAAUGGCAUUAAGAAAUAUGAGUAAUUCCAAUCAACUUGAGAUAAUGUCUAAUCAAACACAAAUACAACUGGUAAAUUUCAUUAAAUAGCAUGGAGAUUAAAUUAAAACACUAUUAUGUAAUAAAAACCUUUAGUGGUACUAAAAUUUUAGAAUAGUUCAGAUAUACAGAAAAAUUUCAAAGAUACACAGAGUUCCCAUUUUUUUCCUAUUACUAACCUCUCAUAUUUGUCACAACUAAUGAAUAUUCAAUAGAGUAUUAUUAACUAAAGCCUAUACAUUUAUUUAGAUUUCCUUAGUUUUUAGCUAACAUUCUUUUUCUUUGUUCCAGGAUCCCAUCCGGGCCACCACAUUGAAUUUAUUUGUCAUUUUAGGUACCUCUUGGCUGUGAGUUUCUUAGACUUUCCUUGUUUUUGGUGACCCUGACAGUUUGAGGGAGUACUAGUCAGUCAGUUAUUUUUGCAGAAUGCCCUAAAUUUGAGUUUGGCUGAUGUUUUUCUUAGGGUUUGACUGGGGUUAUGGGUUUUGGGGAGGAAGACCACAGAGGUGAAGUACCAUUCUCACCAAAUUAUAUUAAAGGUACAUACCAUCAGCAUGCCUUAUACUAUUGAUGUGAACUUUGAUUGCCUGGCUGUGGUAGUGUUUGUCAUGUUUCUUCACUGUAAAGUUACUCUUCUCAUCACCCACUUUUCUGUACUGUACUCUUUGGAAGAAAGUCACUAUAUGCAUCCCAAAUUUAAGGAGUGGGAAGUUAUGCUCCACCCAUUUGUAAGCAGAAAAUCUACAUAAUUUGUUUGGCAUUCUUCUGCAUAGGAAAAUCAUCUCACUCUCCCAGUUAUUUAUUUAUUUGAUCUUUUUUUAUAUCAGUAUGGACUCAUGGGUAUUUCUUUUAUACUUUGGGUUAUAAUCCAAUACUAACACAAUAAAGAAAUUUUUAAUGGAGAUGCAUUCAAAUUCGUUGCUAAAAUGGGCCUGACACCUCUUGACCUUGGCUAAACAGAGAUUCUGGAUGGAGCAAAGCACUGUGACGUCAUGUGGACUUUGAAGGUUAAGAAACUACGGAUCAUCAGGACAUAUUUGCUCUUCCAUCUCACAGAGAAAAUGGGGAUAUACCUCCUCAUUCCAGGAAACUUUCUUCCUAUAUUUCUAAUAUAUCCAGGAUAAAAUUCAAUAUAUAUAGUCAGUAGCUUCAAAGUUAAGCAUAAUUUGUUUACUAGAAUUCUUAAGGCAGAUGUUGGAUCAUUAACUCAUUCUCUUAGAAAUAACUUUGGUGCUUAUAAGUAGGCAUCACAUAAUCUGAUACACUGAUAUUAUAUAUAUAAUCGUGAAAAACAUAUCAGAUUAUAUGAUAUCACAUAAUCUGAUAUAUGUGAUAUAUAAUCAGAUUAUGUGGUAUCAUAUAAUCUGAUAUAUAAAUGUUUUUCAUAAUUAUACAUAUAUUUCAAGUAUAAUUGUGAAAAACAUUUGCCAGUUUAAAGUUUAAUAUGUAGACAGAAUAAUGCCUGGAGGUAUAGGGAUAUAAUUGGGAAUUAGAGUAAUAAAAUAAAUAUUUUAAGUACUUACUACAUAUUACUCAUUAACACAAAAGUAACUUUACGUAUAAAAUGCAUGACAAGACUCCAUUAUAAAGAAGUGUCUGAAAGCUAUAGGGCAGAAAGGUAUAGAACACAGUAUAGACUAGAAGGAGAUAAAGACAAUCAGAAGAUUUUAUUCAUUCAUUUAUUCAACAAAAAUUUACAGAGUACCUCCAAUUAUCAGCAGCUGUGCUGAAGAUUAGGUAUAUUACCUACACAGUUACAAAUUUUGCUUUCAUGUAGUCUGCAGGAAGAGAGACAUUAAUCAAAGAAUGGCACUAUUGACACUUGUGCAGGAAAGGGUUACGUCAACAGGCCUGGGCUGCUCAAACCUUGCGUAUUCCCAGAGUCUCAAGACUGGUCUUGGCCUGGCUCCUGGGAAGAUUACUUCUGAGCCCUUGGCUGAGAUAGGAGUUUAUGCCAACAGUGUGAUUUAUGGCAAACACCUGUUUUUGUAUGCCUGAGGCUUUGGAUCAUGCUGUACCAAUUUGAUCUGAGGCCUGAAGACUGGUAGCUAAGGUGCUGCAUGCCUACAUGACUGACCUCCAGUAAAAACCCUGGACACAUGCCUCAAGUGAGUUUCGUUGGUUGGCAACACUUUACAUAUGUUGUCACACGUUGUUGCUGAGAAAAUUAAGUGUACUCCAUGUAAUGGCACUGGGAGAGGACAACUGGAAGCUGGUGCUUAAUUUCUCCUCUACUCCACGCUAUCCACCUUUUCACUUCGCUGAGUUUUUUCUGUAUCCUUUCAAUGUAAUAAACUUUAACCAUGAGUAUAACAGCUUUUUUGGGUCCUGUGAGUCUUUCCAGCAAAUCACUGAGCCUGAGAAUUAUCUUGGGGAUCCCCAACACAAUACUACAAUUAAAAAAUGAGGUACAUAUUCUAAAGAAGAAGAAUAUAGUUUGUGGGAGUUUAUAACAUAGUAACCUGAAGUAGACUAGGAGGUCAAGAAAGUCUUCCCCGAAAAAGAGAGGUUUGAGCUGUGAUAAUGGAUGCAUAAGACAUUGCUUAUAAAGGUGGAGAGAGCUUUCCAGCAUGAUGAAUUGCAUGUACAAAUCCUCUGGUCAGGGAGAGUAAAGUGUGUGUGAGCAGCUGAAAGUGACAUGCACAGCUGGAGUGGAGAGAACAGCAGGAGGUGGGAUGGGAGAUGUGUGGGACAGUCCUCAGAGGCUGGGCUUGGCAAACCAUGUGAAGGAUUUUGGUCAUUAUCCUGAGAGUCACGGGAAGCCAUGGAAAGGCUGGAAGCAAAGGGGGGCUCAGGGUGGUCUUCUGAAAUAAGCAUUCUGGCAAUGGGGGUUGGGGGGAGAACUUAUAGGGGGUGAUGAGUCGACAGAAUGAAAACAAGGCAAUCUCUUUUUAUAGAACUCAGAAGAGAGAUGAUGGUAUCUCUGGCUAUUGUGCUGGCAGAGGGAAUGUUGAGAAAUGGAAGCUUUUCAUAGAAAUUUAGUGGGCCAAAUUACUUUGCUGGCUUGUGCAAAUGACAGAAUGGUUGGACCACUCAUUGAAGCAGGACACACUAGGAGAGACCAGGUUUAUUUUUGUCAGGAUGAAGCACAAGAAUGACAUACAUUUGGUCUUGGAUACACUGAGUUUGAUGUGCCUUUAGAGUUGAAUAUGGAGAUAGUUAUAGGCCACUGAAUACAUAGGUAUGGACUGAUGUCAUUCAGGUUUCAUCCACAAAUUGUAACUACAGCUAUCGACUCAAGGGGCA
rnacentral:lncRNA from 1 species